GACGUAGGGUGCAAGCGUUGUCCGGAUUUAUUGGGCGUAAAGAGCUCGUAGGCGGCUCGUCGCGUCGGCCGUGAAAACCUAGGGCUUAACCCUGGGCUUGCGGUCGAUACGGGCGGGCUAGAGUUCGGUAGGGGAGACUGGAAUUCCUGGUGUAGCGGUGAAAUGCGCAGAUAUCAAGUGGAAUACCGGAGGCGAAGGCGGGUAACUGGCCUAACACUGACACUCAGACCCGAAAGCGUGGGGAUCAAACAGG
rnacentral:rRNA from 1 species